GUGUGUGUGAGUGUGUAUUUGUAUAUGUGCGUGUGUGUUUGUGUGGUACACAUCACCAAGUCACGGUAGGGACAUCUCUGUACACACACACUCUACACAUCACCAAGUCACGGUAGGGACAUCUCUGUACACACACACUCUACAUAUCACCAAGUCACGGUAGGGACAUCUCUGUACACACACACACUCUACACAUCACCAAGUCACGGUAGGGACAUCUCUGUACACACACACACACACACUCUACACAUCACCAAGUCACGGUAGAGACAUCUCUGUACACAUACACACACUCUACACAUCACCAAGUCAUGGUAGGGACAUCUCUGUACACACACACACACUCUACACAUCACCAAGUCACGGUAGGGACAUCUCUGUACAUACACACUCUUCACAUCACCAAGUCACGGUAGGGACAUCUCUGUACAUACACACUCUACACAUCACCAAGUCACGGUAUGGACAUCUCUGUACACACACACACUCUACACAUCACCAAGUCACGAUAGGGACAUCUCUGUACACACACACACACUCGACACAUCACCAAGUCACGGUAGGGACAUCUCUGUACACACACACUCUACACAUCACCAAGUCACGGUAUGGACAUCUCUGUACACACACACACACUCUACACAUCACCAAGUUACGCUAUGGACAUCUCUGUACACACACACACACACACACACACACACACACACACACACACACACACACUCUACACAUCACCAAGUCACGGUAGGGACAUCUCUGUACACACACACACACUCUACACAUCACCAAGUCACGGUAUGGACAUCUCUGUACACACACACACACUCGACACAUCACCAAGUCACGGUAGGGACAUCUCUGUACACACACACACACUCGACACAUCACCAAGUCACGGUAGGGACAUCUCUGUACACACACACUCUACACAUCACCAAGUCACGGUAGGGACAUCUCUGUACACACACACUCUACACAUCACCAAGUCACGGUAGGGACAUCUCUGUACACACACACACACACUCGACACAUCACCAAGUCACGGUAGGGACAUCUCUGUACACACAUACACACACACACACACACACUCUACACAUCACCAAGUCACGGUAGGGACAUCUCUGUACACACACACUCUACACAUCACCAAGUCACGGUAUGGACAUCUCUGUACACAUACACACACACACUCUACACAUCACCAAGUCACGGUAGAGACAUCUCUGUACACAUACACACACACACACUCUACACAUCACCAAGUCACGGUAGGGACAUCUCUGUACACACACACUCUACACAUCACCAAGUCACGGUAGGGACAUCUCUGUACACACACACACUACACAUCACCAAGUCACGGUAGGGACAUCUCUGUACACACACACACACACAUACACACACACACACACACUCUUCACAUCACCAAGUCACGGUAGGGACAUCUCUGUACACACACACACACUCGACACAUCACCAAGUCACGGUAGGGACAUCUCUGUACACACAUACACACACACACACACACACACACUCUACACAUCACCAAGUCACGGUAGGGACAUCUCUGUACACACACACUCUACACAUCACCAAGUCACGGUAUGGACAUCUCUGUACACACACACACACACACUCUACACAUCACCAAGUCACGGUAGAGACAUCUCUGUACACAUACACACACACACACACACUCUACACAUCACCAAGUCACGGUAGGGACAUCUCUGUACACACACACUCUACACAUCACCAAGUCACGGUGGGGACAUCUCUGUACACACACACUCUACACAUCACCAAGUCACGGUAGGGACAUCUCUGUACACACACACUCUACACAUCACCAAGUCACGGUAGGGACAUCUCUGUACACACACACACACUCUACACAUCACCAAGUCACGGUAGGGACAUCUCUGUACACACACACACACUGUACACAUCACCAAGUCACGGUAGGGACAUCUCUGUACACACACACACUACACAUCACCAAGUCACGGUAGGGACAUCUCUGUACACACACAUACACACUCUACACAUCACCAAGUCACGGUAGGGACAUCUCUGUACACACACAUACACACUCUACACAUCACCAAGUCACGGUAGGGACAUCUCUGUACACACACAUACACACUCUACACAUCACCAAGUCACGGUAGGGACAUAAUAAUAAUAUAAUAAUAUAUGCCAUUUAGCAGACGCUUUUAUCCAAAGCGACUUACAGUCAUGUGUGCAUACAUUCUACGUAUGGGUGGUCCCGGGAAUCGAACCCACUACCCUGGCGUUACAAGCGCCAUGCUCUACCAACUGAGCUACAGAAGGACCAUCUCUGUACACACACUCUAUACACCACCAGGUCACGGUAGGGACAUCUCUGUACACACACAUACACACUCUACACAUCACCAAGUCACGGUAGGGACAUCUCUGUACACACACACACUACACAUCACCAAGUUACGGUAGGGACAUCUCUGUACACACACACAUCACUUAUUACCUACACCCCUUUACUCACUCCCUCGCUCUCCAACUAAUAUGGGAGCUCUCCCUCCUUACAAAAUACAGUGUGUGUGAGUGUGUAUUUGUAUAUGUGCGUGUGUGUUUGUGUGGUACACAUCACCAAGUCACGGUAGGGACAUCUCUGUACACACACACUCUACACAUCACCAAGUCACGGUAGGGACAUCUCUGUACACACACACUCUACAUAUCACCAAGUCACGGUAGGGACAUCUCUGUACACACACACACUCUACACAUCACCAAGUCACGGUAGGGACAUCUCUGUACACACACACACACACACUCUACACAUCACCAAGUCACGGUAGAGACAUCUCUGUACACAUACACACACUCUACACAUCACCAAGUCAUGGUAGGGACAUCUCUGUACACACACACACACUCUACACAUCACCAAGUCACGGUAGGGACAUCUCUGUACAUACACACUCUUCACAUCACCAAGUCACGGUAGGGACAUCUCUGUACAUACACACUCUACACAUCACCAAGUCACGGUAUGGACAUCUCUGUACACACACACACUCUACACAUCACCAAGUCACGAUAGGGACAUCUCUGUACACACACACACACUCGACACAUCACCAAGUCACGGUAGGGACAUCUCUGUACACACACACUCUACACAUCACCAAGUCACGGUAUGGACAUCUCUGUACACACACACACACUCUACACAUCACCAAGUUACGCUAUGGACAUCUCUGUACACACACACACACACACACACACACACACACACACACACACACACACACACACACACACACACACACACACUCUACACAUCACCAAGUCACGGUAGGGACAUCUCUGUACACACACACACACUCUACACAUCACCAAGUCACGGUAUGGACAUCUCUGUACACACACACACACUCGACACAUCACCAAGUCACGGUAGGGACAUCUCUGUACACACACACUCUACACAUCACCAAGUCACGGUAGGGACAUCUCUGUACACACACACUCUACACAUCACCAAGUCACGGUAGGGACAUCUCUGUACACACACACUCUACACAUCACCAAGUCACGGUAGGGACAUCUCUGUACACACACACACACACUCGACACAUCACCAAGUCACGGUAGGGACAUCUCUGUACACACAUACACACACACACACACUCUACACAUCACCAAGUCACGGUAGGGACAUCUCUGUACACACACACUCUACACAUCACCAAGUCACGGUAUGGACAUCUCUGUACACAUACACACACACACUCUACACAUCACCAAGUCACGGUAGAGACAUCUCUGUACACAUACACACACACACACACUCUACACAUCACCAAGUCACGGUAGGGACAUCUCUGUACACACACACUCUACACAUCACCAAGUCACGGUAGGGACAUCUCUGUACACACACACACUACACAUCACCAAGUCACGGUAGGGACAUCUCUGUACACACACACACACACAUACACACACACACACACACUCUUCACAUCACCAAGUCACGGUAGGGACAUCUCUGUACACACACACACACUCGACACAUCACCAAGUCACGGUAGGGACAUCUCUGUACACACAUACACACACACACACACACACACACUCUACACAUCACCAAGUCACGGUAGGGACAUCUCUGUACACACACACUCUACACAUCACCAAGUCACGGUAUGGACAUCUCUGUACACACACACACACACACUCUACACAUCACCAAGUCACGGUAGAGACAUCUCUGUACACAUACACACACACACACACACUCUACACAUCACCAAGUCACGGUAGGGACAUCUCUGUACACACACACUCUACACAUCACCAAGUCACGGUGGGGACAUCUCUGUACACACACACUCUACACAUCACCAAGUCACGGUAGGGACAUCUCUGUACACACACACUCUACACAUCACCAAGUCACGGUAGGGACAUCUCUGUACACACACACACACUCUACACAUCACCAAGUCACGGUAGGGACAUCUCUGUACACACACACACACUGUACACAUCACCAAGUCACGGUAGGGACAUCUCUGUACACACACACACUACACAUCACCAAGUCACGGUAGGGACAUCUCUGUACACACACAUACACACUCUACACAUCACCAAGUCACGGUAGGGACAUCUCUGUACACACACAUACACACUCUACACAUCACCAAGUCACGGUAGGGACAUCUCUGUACACACACAUACACACUCUACACAUCACCAAGUCACGGUAGGGACAUCUCUGUACACACACAUACACACUCUACACAUCACCAAGUCACGGUAGGGACAUCUCUGUACACACACACACUACACAUCACCAAGUUACGGUAGGGACAUCUCUGUACACACACACAUCACUUAUUACCUACACCCCUUUACUCACUCCCUCGCUCUCCAACUAAUAUGGGAGCUCUCCCUCCUUACAAAAUACAGUGUGUGUGAGUGUGUAUUUGUAUAUGUGCGUGUGUGUUUGUGUGGUACACAUCACCAAGUCACGGUAGGGACAUCUCUGUACACACACACUCUACACAUCACCAAGUCACGGUAGGGACAUCUCUGUACACACACACUCUACAUAUCACCAAGUCACGGUAGGGACAUCUCUGUACACACACACACUCUACACAUCACCAAGUCACGGUAGGGACAUCUCUGUACACACACACACACACACUCUACACAUCACCAAGUCACGGUAGAGACAUCUCUGUACACAUACACACACUCUACACAUCACCAAGUCAUGGUAGGGACAUCUCUGUACACACACACACACUCUACACAUCACCAAGUCACGGUAGGGACAUCUCUGUACAUACACACUCUUCACAUCACCAAGUCACGGUAGGGACAUCUCUGUACAUACACACUCUACACAUCACCAAGUCACGGUAUGGACAUCUCUGUACACACACACACUCUACACAUCACCAAGUCACGAUAGGGACAUCUCUGUACACACACACACACUCGACACAUCACCAAGUCACGGUAGGGACAUCUCUGUACACACACACUCUACACAUCACCAAGUCACGGUAUGGACAUCUCUGUACACACACACACACUCUACACAUCACCAAGUUACGCUAUGGACAUCUCUGUACACACACACACACACACACACACACACACACACACACACACACACACACACACACACACACACAC